rnacentral:miRNA from 14 species
ACUAAAUGUCAAACAUUCUCACA